UAGAAGGUGAACAACAUUCACAGAUGAUG
rnacentral:piRNA from 1 species